rnacentral:rRNA from 1 species
AGAGUUUGAUCCUGGCUCAGGAUAAACGCUGGCGGCGUGCUUUAUGCAUGCAAGUCGAACGGUCUCGAUUUAUCGGGACAGUGGCGAAUGGGUGAGUAACGCGUAAGUAACCUGCCCCUAAGUAGGGGAUAACUCAGAGAAAUCGGAGAUAAUACCGCAUGUGGUGAUGAGGGUAAGGCUCCAUCACUAAAGCCUUCGGGUGCUUGGGGAGGGGCUUGCGUCCGAUUAGCUAGUUGGUAAGGUAACGGCCUACCAAGGCAAUGAUCGGUAGCUGAUCUGAGAGGAUGGUCAGCCACACUGGAACUGAGACACGGUCCAGACUCCUACGGGAGGCAGCAGCAAGGGAUAUUGUGCAAUGGGCGAAAGCCUGACACAGCGACGCCGCGUGGGGGAAGAAGGCCUUCGGGUUGUAAAUCCCUUUUCUCAGGGAAGAAUAAUGACGGUACCUGAGGAAUAAGUCUCGGCUAACUACGUGCCAGCAGCCGCGGUAAUACGUAGGAGGCAAGCGUUAUUCGGAUUUAUUGGGCGUAAAGAGGGCGUAGGUGGUUCUUCAAGUCGGAUGUAAAAUCUCCUGGCUCAACUGGGAGGGACCAUUCGAUACUGCUGGGCUAGAGUGCAGCAGGGGGAGGUGGAAUUCCCGGUGUAGUGGUGAAAUGCGUAGAUAUCGGGAGGAACACCGGUGGCGAAGGCGGCCUCCUGGGCUGCUACUGACACUGAGGCCCAAAAGCGUGGGGAGCGAACAGGAUUAGAUACCCUGGUAGUCCACGCUGUAAACGAUGGACACCAGGUAUGGGGAGUAUCGACCCUCUCCGUGCCGAAGCUAACGCAUUAAGUGUCCCGCCUGGGGAGUACGGUCGCAAGACUAAAACUCAAAGGAAUUGACGGGGGCCCGCACAAGCAGCGGAGCGUGUGGUUUAAUUCGAUGCAACCGCGAAGAACCUUACCAAGGCUUGACAUGU